ACAGCAUACACACUCUCUAGCUAUCCAUCGCCACACAUAACAAUGCAGGUUCUUUCUUACAUAUUGUUAGCAAUUAUGCUGUUUUUCGGAGCUUUUGGACCCGGUGCAAGAACUUGCUAUGCCGUCCGAUAUCUCAAUAAAAUGGAGCAUUCAAGAACGGGAUUACGUGCGUUUCAGAAGAGGACAAUUCCCGCACCUUGGGUAUCUCCUCCUACUCUAAACGUAAGGCACGGUCAUUUAGUACCACCAUCAGGUCCAUCACGACGACGUCCACCACCCCCUGGAACCAUAUAUUAAGAUGGAUCUAAAUCGUCUUUCCUCCAUUUUCUUAGAGGGGUUCUUGUGAUUUCUAGUUCUCAACUAGGUUUGAUCUCCUAAUGUUUCGUUUCUGUAUUAAUUCUCAGCUGUUUAAUAUCCUUGCUAUCAUGUAUUGAAUAAUUUAUCAUAAGCAAAUGCCUCUUCCUUUUAUUACACGUUUCAAUUUCUUGUUCUUUUUAAGGUAGUAAUAGCGAUACUCAAACGAAAAAAAAAAAUCU
rnacentral:lncRNA from 1 species